CACGUAGGGCGCAAGCGUUGUCCGGAAUUAUUGGGCGUAAAGAGCUCGUAGGCGGACUGUCACGUCCGCUGUGAAAAGCUAGGGCUUAACCCUGGCCUUGCAGUGGAUACGGGCAGACUAGAGGUAGGUAGGGGAGAAUGGAAUUCCCGGUGUAGUGGUGAAAUGCGUAGAUAUCGGGAGGAACACCAGUGGCGAAGGCGGGUCUCUGGGCCGAUACUGACGCUGAGGAGCGAAAGCGUGGGGAGCGAACAGG
rnacentral:rRNA from 1 species